rnacentral:lncRNA from 1 species
ACGCAACCAGAAUGGUCUCGAGUUAGAGUUCAGAAACACAUACCACAGAGGUAAUGCUCAACCGGGAGACCACUGCAUUUUUGGUUGUGUUCAGCCAGCUGGAAAACAAAUCUACACUUUACUGCAUUAGACAACCUUUGUGGAAAAGACAGAAACAUUUCUGGUAUGAGACUUUCCUCACCAAAGAAAACCCAGCAAGGAAUUCUGCAACCAAGCAAGAAUCCCAAUCAACUUUCCAUUCUUCAAAACCAGUGCCCUUUAUUCUUCAACUGCUUUCAUCCAAAAUCUCCUAUGAACUCCAGCAAUGAGACUGCAAGUUCAACUGGACACAAUGCCAUUCAUGUGCAACCACUGAACUCCAGCCUUUCUAGCGCUUAAUGCAGCAAUUACAAAAGCCUCAUGAACACACUGGUGUUACAAGACAGGACAAGGACUUCAAAAGGGGGAAACAUUUGGAAAGAUUUCAAUAUCUCUUCUGUACAUUUACAGAAUGACCUUAAAGUGUGUUUUGUUUCCUGCAUUUAUUUUAUUCUUCACUGUUAAUGAAAAUUACACAUACUUAAGUUGUUCUUUAAGUGAAAAAAGAACAGAUGUAAAAAUAAUUUAUGUGACCUUGGCAUAGCAAUCUCUGAGUUUUCUUGAAAACUUUACUUUCAUAAGAAAGGCCUAAUAAUUUUU